rnacentral:rRNA from 1 species
ACAGUGGACGCGAGCAUCUGUGGCCAAGUUUUUAAGGGCGCACGGUGGAUGCCUUGGCACCAGGAACCGAUGAAGGACGUGGGAGGCCACGAUAGUCCCCGGGGAGCCGUCAACCAGGCUUUGAUCCGGGGGUUUCCGAAUGGGGAAACCCGGCAGUCGUCAUGGGCUGUCACCCAUGCCUGAACACAUAGGGCAUGUGGAGGGAACGAGGGGAAGUGAAACAUCUCAGUACCCUCAGGAAGAGAAAACAACCGUGAUUCCGGG